ACAAGUAAAGAAUUCAGAAAAUCACCAGGGGCUUCUUGCUUUGGACUGCCUCUGUCAACUGGCAAAGAAAAUGCUGAUAUGGAAAAGAAGAGAAGGCGCCUGGAACGUUUUGGACUCUUAUGAUUCACUUCUGCAUCUUCUCUCCAGAUUUGCUAUGUUAAAAGUAAAGAGAAGAUCCCAAUUCCACAUAUCAUCUUCUCAUUAUCAUCAGUUCUUUAAUUUUUCCACUGACAUUGGUUUAUACUGAUAAUGUCACUGCUGUAAUUUAUAAAUAAAAACAGACAUUCAUAUCUACUAUAUACUAGA
rnacentral:lncRNA from 1 species